ensembl:lncRNA
AAAUUGGUUGUAUUCUAAAACUUUUAUGUAGUAAACAUAACAGUUGUCAAAAGUGAACAAUUUUAUUAUAAAAUAAAAGUGUUAUUUAUAUUUUAUUAUAAAUUUAUUAAUAUAUGUAAAUUACACAUAAUAUUAUAUAUUUGUGAUUUUUAUAUUCACUAAAAUAAAUAAAAUAAAAAAAAAAACUUACGAGAUUUACAUUAUUAUACAAUUCUAAUUCUAUUGAAACAAAAUUUAAUCUUUAAAAAAUGACGGAAGUUAUAAAUAAGUUACCUUCUAGAGUAUUUUAUGGUAAGUUGUUGGAUAAGAGUGAUCUUAGUUAUUACGCUGAAAGUCCACAUGUACAUAAUAUAGAAAAAAGUAUUCAAAAUUUCGGACGUGCAAAAGAAAUUAUGAUGAUGCUUGAAAAGAAUUUAGAUAUGUUUUAUCAUAAUGAAGACACACCUUUUAAUAAAAAACAUUGUUUCGAUGUGAAUUUUUGGUUAUAUAAUACGAUAAAUGAAAAUUUAACUAAACCAAAAAGCAAUAAGAAAUUAUUUAAAGUACUUGAUAAAUAUCAUAAAGAGUGGGAUGUAAUAAAUCAAUCUAAAGAAAUUGAUAAAGAAAUUAUAUGCGAACCAAAUAGAACUUUAAUAGAUAUAAAAUAUUUAAGGGAGGUUAAACAUUUAUUUGAUUAUUUUGAAAAUUUUGAUUAUGUCAAAGAUGAGGCAAAGAAGAACCCUGAUGAUGCUUGUAAAAUUUUUUAUAAGCCAUUAAAAAAAUUAAUUCCAAUAUUUUUUAGAUGGACAGAUAUAUGUCAACUAGAAGAACCAAAUAUAUGCAAUACACAUAUAUCGAAUCCUGGCAAUUAUACUCCAAGAGCAAUGUUAAAGCAUGUUAAUCUUAUUAGUCUUACCUUUUCAGCCUUGGUGAAUUCAUGCUUUAAACAAGUUAUUGAUUUAGUAAAACAAUCUGAACAGUUGAAACAUAAAACAUAUGUUAUAGUUAGAUAUAAAAAUGAAGCUAAAAUGUUAAAAUUAAUAAAAAAGAAGAGUAGAUCAUUAGCUGAAACAGAUGAUAUGUUAGGAAUACUACAUGGAGAUGAUAAUAGCUGUGGUUUAUUAAGUUAUAUAGUAUGGUUUUUUUACCAAACAUAUUUAUAUAUUAAUGAAAAUAUUAUUUUAGUAAGUGCCUUUAUGCUAGGAAUGUUAUUUGUUUUCGGUAUUUUUUACCAAGUAAACAAUAUUUCUAAAAAAAAAAAAAAAAAUUAAACACCUUAUUUUAUUUUUGAAAACAUAUUAUCAUAAACAAUAUUAACGAAAAAGAAAAAAAAUAUAUGUAUAUAUAUACAUAUAUAAAUAUAUUUACAACUUUUUUUUUUUUUAUAUUUUUUUUUAUAUAUAUUUUUUUUUUUUUUUUUUUUAAUUAUGUCAAUUUUUUAUGAAAUUUUUACUAUUCCAUUUGAUAAAUUUUAUCAUUGUUAUUAUUUUUAUUUUUUACAUAAAUAUUUUUAUUAUAAUUUAUAACUAUAAUAUAAUAAAAUUUUAUUUACGAAUAGAAUUUUUAUUAUA